UACGUAGGGGGCUAGCGUUGUCCGGAAUCAUUGGGCGUAAAGAGCGUGUAGGCGGUCCGGUAAGUCCGCUGUGAAAGUCGGGGGCUCAACCCUCGAAUGCCGGUGGAUACUGUCGGGCUAGAGUACGGAAGAGGCGAGUGGAAUUCCUGGUGUAGCGGUGAAAUGCGCAGAUAUCAGGAAGAACACCCGUGGCGAAGGCGGCUCUCUGGGACGGUACUGACGCUGAGACGCGAAAGCGUGGGGAGCGAACAGG
rnacentral:rRNA from 1 species